rnacentral:lncRNA from 1 species
CCCCGGAAUUACGGGUGGAUAUUACGCGGUGCUGCAGGUGAAUUACGGGCGCAUGUAACCAAUUAUGCGCACAAUUACGGGUGAAGACCCAGUGAUUACGGGUGCAUAUUAUGCGGUGCUGCAGGUGAAUUACGGGCGCAUGUAACCAAUUACACGCACAAUUACGGGUGAAGACCCAGUGAUUACGGGUGGAUAUUACACGGUGCUGCAGGUGAAUUACGGGUGCAUGUAACCAAUUACGUGCACAAUUACAGGUGAAUAGCCAGUGAUUACGGGUGGAUAUUACGCGGUGCUGCAGGUGUAUUACGGGCGCAUGUAGCCGAUUACCCGCACAAUUAUGGGUGAAUACCCAGUGAUUACGGGUGGAUAUUACGCGGUGCUGCAGGUGAAUUACGGGCACAUGUAACCAAUUACACGUACAAUUACGGGUGAAGACCCUGUUAUCACGGGUUACACAGGCAGAUAUUACUCUGAGAUGUGACGCUUACUGCGUGUUAAAUUAACGAUUGGUGAAUACUGCGGCAAGCCUCAAGAUGGACGCGAACCCCUUGUCAAAGUAGCCUAAGUCUCAGUAUGCUUGUGGACCAAGGCGCUUUGGACUCACAACGCCAACCAGCCAGCCUGACAGCCUGAUGCAUUCAUCCCAACCAUCAUCCUCGAAAACAGUGUUCAUGUCACCCCCCAUACAGCAAGUGCUCGCCAAGAAGUCUCACCACCACUUGCAGAGUUUGUGCCUACUGCUUACUCCUACGGAUGAAACCCCCGAUGCAUGACAUGUACCGGCACCUAUUGGGAUUGGUCUGUCCCAUCCUGCCUGGGGCCGACCUGGUGUGUGCACCCCCAAGCGUUCAUCACUGCUGCCAUGUUACUGCUCGCUUCCACCACUGCCGCUGCUGCCACUGCCACUGUUGCUGCUGCUAGCUUCGCUAUAUUUGCCCGUGUCCUCCGAGCUGGACUCCUCCCCAGCGCCAGCGGCUAGGACCUCUUCCUCACCAGCGUCCGACCCACCCUCCGAGCUACCCUCCUCUGUCCGCCCCCUCC